AUGGGCUGUGAAAGUGCUUCUCGGCAUCCUCCGACUGCUCUUCAUCUCCUUCUCUGCACAGGCAAAACAUAUCGGGUCCAGUUGAUGGUGUUAGAGGAGAUAUUCACACGAGGGAUAAAAAUGUGAAUCAAUUGAUGAGAACAUAUAAAAGCAAUUUCAACCACACCUGCUACGAGAACAGCGAACAGUAGCAAGGCAUGGAAGAGGGCCGAAGGCAGUGAUAUUGUUGCAGGUUACUGAAAGGGGAGAAUAUUCACAGUCCUGUGAUUCAAGAUAGCGGGCAAGACGAUCA
rnacentral:lncRNA from 1 species